ensembl:lncRNA
AAAGGGAGUUUUCCUUCCCACUGUGGCCAAAGUGCUUGCUCAUAGGGGGUCAUAUGAUUGUUGGGUUUUUCUCUGUAUUUAUUAUUGUGCUAUCUACUGUACAAUAUAAAGCGCCUUGAGGCGACUUUUGUUGUGAUUUGGCGCUAUAUAAAUAAAAUUGAAUUGAAUUGAAUUGAAUUGAAUUAACUGUGAACUUUUGCAUCGAUAGAAGGUGAAUGAAGAGGAGUUGUGUAUGAAUGAAAUCUACACUGUCACUGUCCAAACAAAGGGUGCAUAAGUUGAAAUUUAAGUAUAUAAAAUGACAAAAAGGGGGGAAAUGUUAGGUCUAAUUGUUGAAUGUUGCCAUUGUGUUUCUUAAAUUUGUACAGUCUUAGUUCAAGCAGUAUUAUCAAAGCUAUUCCUUUGAUCCUGAGCACCUCUAACCACUUUGUGUUGGGGGAGGUUUUAUUGCAGAUACAUCCUAUCUGGAAGAUCUACUUCCUUUGAUGUAAGCUUCCUGCGUUUACGACCCUUUGGUCAGCAGGAGGACACACACACACACACACACACACACACACACACACAUACCUGCAUAUACAUACAUACAGUGCCUUGUCUUUGUAACCAAAGGGGGUUGCGAGGGGAGGUGUUUUGUAAACUAUUGUUUGAAGUUUGUCAAUAAAAGCCAGCGAGAGGAGGUCCUCAUCGGGGUCACUUCCAUGCUGGACAUAGACGAGGCCUCCCUUGCGCAAGUAAUCGAUCGAACACUGUUGCCUUGUUUUUCUUUCAUGGGAAUAAGUCCUGGAUACAGCGGGGUCUGAGUUUAGACCCAACACCAUAUAACAAAGUUUCAGGCGCAGAUAAUAAAACGGUCACGUCUGCUGUGGCAGAUGAGUGGAGGUUGAAAGUAGGACCCAAGAUGCAGGCUGCUUCUGAUGUGAGCGAGCUUUGUUGAUAUGGUAGGUGAAACAAACAGGAACAUAAUGGGCAUGAAACAAAACCUAAAGAUAACCUAAACGGGGAAAAAUGAACCAAACAAACCUGAAACCUUAAAUGGAGGCACAGGGAGAAUGACGCAGGAUGACGCAGAGAAAGAACACAGAUGAACCAGCAAUGCACACGCGAAAACACAGGGCUUAAAUACACACAAUCAGGCAAUCAGAGAAUGGGAGAUUAAUUGGACAUAACGAGACAAGGGGGAGCGAAUUUAGAAAGACUGACAAGAGAAACAGACACCAACAAAACUCUAAACACGCAAACAAACACAGACUGGGAGACAGAACAUAGGAACUUGAAACGUGGAACAGGAGAGCACAGAGGACACAAAACACUAGGGAUAAUCACAAACAACACAACAUAAACAAAACCACAGAAUACUAAUAAACUCAAGCAUAAAUACGGAGUCCACAGACUGUGGACCAUGACAAAAACAGGGUACCUUUGUGACAUAGCCUCAGCAGAAGUUUAUUUUUGCAUUAGUGGUAUUCAUCAGUCACACAGAAAGAGGCGGGUCUAACCUAGAUUGUUUUGUUUUUUUUCAGUUAUAUUUCAGUCUAAUGUUAAUACAGUCACUAGCGAGACACCAUGGAGCUCACAGCUCUUUGCAAGAAACUUGACAGCGUUUUUGGUGUUGGUGGUUUCACAAAUUCAACAUAACUAUGCACAGGAAGGGUCUUUUGCUCAGAUUGUUCCCACUGGACUUCAGCUCUUUGAAUAUAGUUCCCUCUCAAUUAACUGUGAGGGUUUUACUCCUGAAACUGGAUGGACUGUAAAGAGGAGACAAAAGGGACAAGUCAGUGCAUGUGUCAGUAACUGGGUGACAAUACCUGCUUCCAUCUGCGCCAUCAAACCUGUUUAUCUCACAGACAGUGGAGAAUAUUGGUGUGAGAAUGGAAGCGAGAGGAGCAACACUGUCAACAUCACAGUCACUGGUAACCUGCAUUUUCAUAAAAAAAUAUUAACUCAAGUAACACAUGAGCUUUAAACUAUGUAUAUUACCUGCAAUAAAGCAAAACUGAGAUGUCACAAUUCCAGUUGAGUGUUACGAAAAGUUAUUCAGAGGUAAAUUAAAGCUUAGAUAAGUUCUAGUAAAACCAAAACAAGUGAGAAAAAAAGGGUGCUCUAUCCAAACACUUUUUCAGGUACACUUUGCUGUUACUGGUUCAGACCUCUUUUCCUUUCAGAGCUGCCUUAAUUCUUGAUGGCAUAGAUUUCAACAAGGCGCUAGAAACAUUUCUCAGAGAUUCUGGGCAUAAUUAAUUCAUUUCAUUCGAUUCAAUUGAGUCAAAUGUUAUUUAUAUAACACCAAGUCUGAGCUACAGUUGUCUCAAGGUGUUUUAUAUUGUAAGGUAAAGACCCUAUAAUAAUAUGUCCAUAUUGACAUGAUGAAAUACAUCACCA